UUCCUGUAUGGAACAUUUGGUGAUUUAUCUUUAAUUGAAAACGAAGCUUCUGAUAAAAAUGGUUUGCUCCCUAGUACCAUAUCCAGUAAGGCUUCCAAUGUCCUACGUGACAUUCUGAAUCAGGAAAGUCUGGUCCGCUUCUCUAUGGUGCAAAAAAUACAAAGUCUAGUUAUGGAUGCUACGGACAGCAAAAACGAAAUACAAGUUAUUAAGGUGAAACUUAGUGAAAUAGCAAAGGACUUACGGAACUUGAAAAGGAAAAACCAAAUAUUGGAGGAAGAAAAUAUUGAACUGAAAGAGAAAUGAAAUUCAAGAUGGUUAGCAGAACGGUGAAUGUCAAUAAAAACUUUACAAUGGAAGAAAUGCAAUAUAUUGACCAGUUGAUUGAAAGCAAAACUUUAGCUCUUCAGGAUUUUGAGAGCACGCUAGAUUUGUUAAAUAAGUCAACAAAGAAGACAGAAAGUGACUUGAGAACAGACAUACAGACAUUGAAGAUGACCGACCAGAGUACAAUGAAGAAAAUAAAAGCACUAAAUAAAUCGCAAUUACUUUCCCCUAUUUGUCCAUAAAUUGAAAUGCUCAAAUAUCAAGUGAAUGCAAUGAAUGUAACAUUACAGAAAUGCACUGUAAACAGUUUUUUUAACGUGUUAAAAAGACAGAGUACGCGUUAGAAAAUUUCACCAUUUCUGUAAAUGAUACUCUACACACUGUUUGUGGGGAUCCGAAUGAAUCCAGCAGGAUCUUGUCAAAAGUGUUUCUGAGGGAUUGUGGAGAAAUUUUAAAGACGUUCCCUAGUUUAAAAGGGCGAGAUGGUGUAUACAGAAUAUCCGUAGGUUCUGAGGUCAAGUCUGUUUACUGUGACAUGAGUACAGAUGGAGGAGGGUGGACGGCAAUACAAAGAAGACAUGACGGGUUUACAGAUUUUUACCUGACUUGGCGAGAAUAUAAACAACUCAAAGUUUUGGAGAUCCCUCUAAAAACUACUGGAUUGG